rnacentral:rRNA from 1 species
AUACGUAGGUGGCAAGCGUUAUCCGGAAUUAUUGGGCGUAAAGGGUGCGUAGGCGGUUUAUUAAGUCUAUGGUGAAGGUGCGGGGCUCAACCCCGUAUGGCCAUAGAAACUAGUAGACUUGAGUGCAGGAGAGGGCAAUGGAAUUCCAUGUGUAGCGGUAAAAUGCGUAGAUAUAUGGAGGAACACCAGUGGCGAAGGCGGUUGCCUGGCCUGUAACUGACGCUGAAGCACGAAAGCGUGGGGAGC